rnacentral:rRNA from 1 species
GACGUACGCUGGCGGCAUGCCUAAUACAUUCAAGUCGAACGAGUGGCGAAAGGGUGAGUAACACGUGGGUGAUCUGCCUUGAACUUCGGGAUAAGCCUGGGAAACUGGGUCUAAUACCGGAUAGUGCAAGAUGAGCUCGCGGCCUAUCCGCUUGUUGGUGGGGUAAUGGCUACCAAGGCGCGAAGGGUAGCCGGCCUGAGAGGGUGUACGGCCACAGUGGGUCUUAGAUACAGCCCAGACCCCCACGGGAGGCAGCAGUGGGGAAUGUCGCACACGGGGCGUAAGUAUGAUGGAGCGACGCCGCGUGGGGGAUUAAGGCGUUUUGGUGCUAAAAUUCUUUCGAAAGGGACGGGGUACCCGUAUAAGAAGCACCGGCUAACUACGUGCCAGCAGCCGCGGUAAUUC